CUGACAGUUUUAAGUUGUGGCGUGAUCAAAAGUCACAGCUGUGGUUAGGGAUAUUUAUACGUUGGGUAUUAGUAGGAUGGAAGUGAUGAAGGGAGAGAGGCCAAUUAGGCCAUGAUUGCUCUGAGGAUGGGAAGUACGUGAAUGUGGAAUCUUGGGGCAAUAGAACGGACAGAACGUAGUGUAGCAAAGCUUCUCUCCAUAACGUUCCUCUGGCCAAGUGAGAAACAUGAAGAUUAGAAGUGCAGCACAUGCCUUCUGAAGAAGCCAGGCAUGGAACAGUUCUGGGAACACAGCACUGAUAAAACUCUUAGGGAUGAAUUUACCUAUACCUGUGUUUCAGCCUUGUGAUCUGAUGGAAGCUGAGGAAUGAUGAAGACAAUGGAAUCAAAGGCAAUUGAUCCCGCCACAUUUGAAGAACCACAAAAGGAGGCUGAGUGAGCUGAAAGAAAUACACAAGUGGAUCAGCAACAUGACAGCUGCUGCAGUGAAAUCUGGAUUGUAAUAUGUCAGUUUCCAACCCAUCACAUACAAUCCAGACAGAGACAUAGCUUUUUGUCUGCCUCGUUGUGAUUUCCCUGUCUGGUGCGGUUUGGGUCACAUCUGUUGGCUGCAUUCUCAUCUUCAUGAGAUCUGCAUUGACUGAUAGUUUAAACCCCAUGUUUAUCUAUGUCUGCGGCUCUUAUUUCUCUCACAGGGAAGUCUCCAGAGAAGCCCAGUAUCCCCUGAUGUGAGAAUCUUGCUUGGUUUUAUUAAUCAACAGCCAGUGCCCACAUUCAGGCAGUUCUGUAUGUUUCAUGCUAGGAUAUUGGGUGUGUUUGUUACAUAUGUCUUUCAACAUUUAUUAUAUCAGAAAAAAUUUGAUAAAAACAUAAACCUACUUCCUGAAUAUAUCACACUGAUUUAAAACAGAACUUCUCACGAUGAACAACCCAAGCUCACUGUUUCUUUGACUUUUGCAUAUUUUCUACUCGUGCAUUAUUCUGUCAUUUCAUGAUAAAAUGAUUGAAAAACACUGCUUUAACCCUCCAAACUUGGCUAGUGGCUAUAUAAGGAUUUAAACUUCAGCAUGCCUGUCUAUGCUCAAGCCUUGGAAAUCCUUUUGCAUUUCAACCAUUGCUAAUGUUUCAUAUCUGCACAUUGAAUCUAACCCUUGAUUUCUUUUGUAGACAUAUGUAAUCUGAAGGCAUGCAACAUUUUGCAAAUGUUGGCCCAUAUUUUUAUUUCAUAAGGUCUUAUUUGGUCUGUCGACCAAGUUUUGAUUACUUCCAUAUUGCUCUUAAUUGCCUUAAUAUCCCCAAAGACUUUCCUAUUCUGUGCAUCCCUUUAUCUUUGCUUCUUUUAUCUCUUGCUGUGAGAGUACAAAAUUGCUGACAUAUUCAAUGUAUUUAAAUUCUGAGUGUUGCAGAAGAGUUUUCAAAUCUGUUUUAAUUUUCUGAUACUCAGCUGAGGACCAUUACACAUUCUGUUCAGCUAAUCUGUUUUUAAUCAUAUCUGUAAAUGCUAAAGUUGUACAUGAGAGAAAUGAUGCAUAAAGUAAAACCAGACCAAGUGUACUUUCGCAUAUGUAAAACUAAAUUCUUACUUUCUUCCACUUACAAGUUUUAUUUUCCUAUAGUCGUGUAGUCUUGACUUACACCAGAAUUUAUCUGCCAAGAGUUUAUGGUACUGUAGUGAAAAAAUCCCGACUUUUUCAUGUUUAAAAUAUUUAUCGAUUAGUACUUAUCCCCUUGCUAUCAUAAUAAAAUUUGAUGAACGUAAAUGUACUUUUAAUUCCAUUUCAUAAUGUAUCAGCUAAGAUAUAUUCAGUCAUAAAUAACUAAUAAUUGCAUUAAUAGUGGUAUUGGCCAUAAAGACAGUUGCUAACUUAACAUAAAU
rnacentral:lncRNA from 10 species